UUUUGGCUCGCUUGCCCCUCGAGCGCUGUUAUCUAUUCAUUUAGCGCAUAAGGAAAGAAUCUGGACUUAACAAAUUUGGAAAUGCCAAAUCUGCCCUCGUCCAGUUUUCCUCAAACGCACGAGACAAAGGCCCGAGGCCUGGCCCGUUCUUCAUUCUAUCUCCCCUCCCCGACUUGACCUAGCCGCCAGCCGCUAGUCGCCAGUCGCCAGAGCCGCUGCGCCCGCCGUCCGCCGCCCUGCUCCGCCGCGUUUCCCCCCCAUCCGCCGCCUCCCAUCGCUGGCCCAAGGUUUUGUGUGUGAUUUGCAUGGGAUUUGAGUGGGAGGGGCUGGAUUGACUAAGGGGUGUGAUGGAUCUGAAAAGGAUCGAUGCAAUGUCUGUGCAUGAUUCUAACCAAUCCAGUGUGAUAAACCUAACCACGGGGGCGAUCUCAGGCAAUGAAGUAGAAAAUGGUCGUGCUACUAUUGAUUGGUCAAGCCUUGUGAUUGAACCAGAAAAUGAUGGGGAUGAAAAACCGCCGGACGAGAAAGCCAUGUUUGCUCUGUUUGGUU